rnacentral:rRNA from 1 species
UACGGAGGGUGCAAGCGUUAUCCGGAUUCACUGGGUUUAAAGGGUGCGUAGGUGGGCAGGUAAGUCAGUGGUGAAAUCUCCGGGCUUAACCCGGAAACUGCCAUUGAUACUAUCUGUCUUGAAUACCGUGGAGGUGAGCGGAAUAUGUCAUGUAGCGGUGAAAUGCUUAGAUAUGACAUAGAACACCAAUUGCGAAGGCAGCUCACUACGCGAAUAUUGACACUGAGGCACGAAAGCGUAGGGAUCAAACAGG